AACGCGAAGAACCUUACCAGGGUUUGACAUGCAUUUGCACCUCUUGGAGACAAGAGUCCCUUCGGGGCGGAUGCACAGGUGCUGCAUGGCUGUCGUCAGCUCGUGUCGUGAGAUGUUGGGUUAAGUCCCGCAACGAGCGCAACCCUCGCCUUUAGUUGCCAUCAUUUGGUUGGGCACUCUAAAGGGACCGCCGGCGACAAGCCGGAGGAAGGUGGGGAUGACGUCAAGUCCUCAUGGCCCUUACGGCCUGGGCUACACACGUGCUACAAUGGCGGUGACAGUGGGCAGCGACCACGCGAGUGGAUGCGAAUCCCAAAAAACCGUCCCAGUUCAGAUUGCACUCUGCAACUCGGGUGCAUGAAGGUGGAAUCGCUAGUAAUCGCAGAACAGCAGGCUGCGGUGAAUACGUUCCCGGGCCUUGUACACACCGGAGUA
rnacentral:rRNA from 1 species